CUGGCUCAGGAUGAACGCUAGCUACAGGCUUAACACAUGCAAGUCGAGGGGCAGCAUUGGGAUAGCUUGCUAUUCAGAUGGCGACCGGCGCACGGGUGAGUAACGCGUAUCCAACCUUCCUGCCAGUAGGGAACAGCCCGGCGAAAGUCGGAUUAAUGCCCUAUGUUCUUCAAUGCGGACAUCUAAGUUGAAGGAAAGAUUCAUCGCUGGCAGAUGGGGAUGCGUCCGAUUAGCUUGCCGGCGGGGUAACGGCCCACCGGGGCGACGAUCGGUAGGGGUUCUGAGAGGAAGGUCCCCCACACUGGUACUGAGACACGGACCAGACUCCUACGGGAGGCAGCAGUGAGGAAUAUUGGUCAAUGGGCGUAAGCCUGAACCAGCCAAGUAGCGUGCAAGGAUGACGGCCCUACGGGUUGUAAACUGCUUUUAUGCGGGGAUAAAGUGCGGCACGUGUGCCGCUUUGCAGGUACCGCAUGAAUAAGGGCCGGCUAAUUCCGUGCCAGCCGCUGC
rnacentral:rRNA from 1 species